GAUGAACGCUGGCGGCGUGCCUAAUACAUGCAAGUCGAACGCUGAAGGAGGAGCUUGCUCUUCUGGAUGAGUUGCGAACGGGUGAGUAACGCGUAGGUAACCUGCCUGGUAGCGGGGGAUAACUAUUGGAAACGAUAGCUAAUACCGCAUGACAACAGUUAUUGCAUGAUAACUGUUUAAAAGGGGCAACUGCUCCACUACCAGAUGGACCUGCGUUGUAUUAGCUAGUUGGUGAGGUAACGGCUCACCAAGGCGACGAUACAUAGCCGACCUGAGAGGGUGAUCGGCCACACUGGGACUGAGACACGGCCCAGACGCCUACGGGAGGCAGCAGUAGGGAAUCUUCGGCAAUGGACGGAAGUCUGACCGAGCAACGCCGCGUGAGUGAAGAAGGUUUUCGGAUCGUAAAGCUCGGUUGUAAGAGAAGAACGAGUGUGAGAGUGGAAAGUUCACACUGUGACGGUAUCUUACCAGAAAGGGACGGCUAACUACGUG
rnacentral:rRNA from 1 species